AGGUUAAGUGAAUAAGGGCGCACGGUGGAUGCCUUGGCACUAGGAGCCGAUGAAGGACGGGACUAACACCGAUAUGCUUUGGGGAGCUGUACGUAAGCUAUGAUCCAGAGAUUUCCGAAUGGGGGAACCCAGCAUCUUUAAUAGGAUGUUACGAUUGUGUGAAUACAUAGCACAUUCGAGGUAGACGCAGAGAACUGAAACAUCUAAGUACCUGCAGGAAGAGAAAGAAAAUUCGAUUCCCUGAGUAGCGGCGAGCGAAACGGGAAAAGCCCAAACCAACAAGCUUGCUUGUUGGGGUUGUAGGACUCCAAUAUGGUCGUUCUUUCAGAUAGUCGAAUGACUUGGAAAAGUCAGUCAAAGAGGGUAAAAACCCCGUAGACGAAAUGUGGAAGACACCUAGGAGGAUCCUGAGUACGGCGGAACACGAGAAAUUCCGUCGGAAUCCGGGAGGACCAAUCUCCCAAGGCUAAAUACUCCCUAGUGACCGAUAGUGAACCAGUACCGUGAGGGAAAGGUGAAAAGCACCCCGGAAGGGGAGUGAAAUAGAACCUGAAACCGUGUGCCUACAACAAGUCAAAGCCCGUUAAUGGGUGAUGGCGUGCCUUUUGUAGAAUGAACCGGCGAGUUACGAUUGCAUGCGAGGUUAAGUUGAAGAGACGGAGCCGCAGCGAAAGCGAGUCUGAAUAGGGCGUUUGAGUAUGUAGUCGUAGACCGAAACCAUGUGAUCUACCCAUGUCCAGGUUGAAGGUGCGGUAAAACGCACUGGAGGACCGAACCCACGUACGUUGAAAAGUGCGGGGAUGAGGUGUGGGUAGCGGAGAAAUUCCAAACGAACUUGGAGAUAGCUGGUUCUCUCCGAAAUAGCUUUAGGGCUAGCCUCGGAAUUGAGAAUGAUGGAGGUAGAGCACUGUUUGGACUAGGGGCCCAUCUCGGGUUACCGAAUUCAGAUAAACUCCGAAUGCCAUUCAUUCAUAUCCGGGAGUCAGACUGUGAGUGAUAAGAUCCAUAGUCGAAAGGGAAACAGCCCAGACCACCAGCUAAGGUCCCAAAAUAUAUGUUAAGUGGAAAAGGAUGUGGGGUUGCACAGACAACUAGGAUGUUGGCUUAGAAGCAGCCACCAUUUAAAGAGUGCGUAAUAGCUCACUAGUCGAGUGACCCUGCGCCGAAAAUGUACCGGGGCUAAACAUAUUACCGAAGCUGUGGAGUACACCUUUAGGUGUAUUGGUAGGAGAGCGUUCUAAGGGCGUCGAAGGCAGAUCGUGAGGACUGCUGGAGCGCUUAGAAGUGAGAAUGCCGGUAUGAGUAGCGAAAGACAGGUGAGAAUCCUGUCCACCGAAUGACUAAGGUUUCCUGGGGAAGGCUCGUCCGCCCAGGGUUAGUCGGGACCUAAGCCGAGGCCGAUAGGCGUAGGCGAUGGAUAACAGGUUGAUAUUCCUGUACCCGUUGUUUUUGUUUGAGCAAUGGAGGGACGCAGGAGGCUAAGGAAUGCAGACGAUCGGAAAUGUCUGUCCAAGCAGUAAGUCUGAAGAGGAGUCAAAUGCUUCUUUUCUUAAGGACAAGCUGUGAUGGGGAGGGAAAUAAUAGUACCGAAGUUCCUGAUGUCACACUGCCGAGAAAAGCUUCUAGUGAGAAAACAGCGGCCCGUACCGCAAACGACACAGGUAGUCGAGGAGAGAAUCCUAAGGUGAGCGAGAGAACUCUCGUUAAGGAACUCGGCAAAAUGACCCCGUAACUUCGGGAGAAGGGGUGCUGAUCAUACGAUCAGCCGCAGUGAAUAGGCCCAAGCGACUGUUUAUCAAAAACACAGGUCUCUGCAAAAUCGUAAGAUGAAGUAUAGGGGCUGACGCCUGCCCGGUGCUGGAAGGUUAAGAGGAGUGCUUAGCGCAAGCGAAGGUACGAAUUGAAGCCCCAGUAAACGGCGGCCGUAACUAUAACGGUCCUAAGGUAGCGAAAUUCCUUGUCGGGUAAGUUCCGACCCGCACGAAAGGCGUAACGAUUUGGGCACUGUCUCAACGAGAGACUCGGUGAAAUUUUAGUACCUGUGAAGAUGCAGGUUACCCGCGACAGGACGGAAAGACCCCAUGGAGCUUUACUGUAGUUUGAUAUUGAGUGUCUGUACCGCAUGUACAGGAUAGGUAGGAGCCGUAGAAAUCGGAACGCUAGUUUCGAUGGAGGCGCUGGUGGGAUACUACCCCUGCGUUAUGGCCACUCUAACCCGCACCACUGAUCGUGGUGGGAGACAGUGUCAGAUGGGCAGUUUGACUGGGGCGGCGCCUCCUAAAAGGUAACGGAGGCGCCCAAAGGUUCCCUCAGAAUGGUUGGAAAUCAUUCGAAGAGUGUAAAGGCAGAAGGGAGCUUGACUGCGAGACCAACAAGUCGAGCAGGGACGAAAGUCGGGCUUAGUGAUCCGGUGGUUCCGCAUGGAAGGGCCAUCGCUCAACGGAUAAAAGCUACCCUGGGGAUAACAGGCUUAUCUCCCCCAAGAGUCCACAUCGACGGGGAGGUUUGGCACCUCGAUGUCGGCUCGUCGCAUCCUGGGGCUGUAGUCGGUCCCAAGGGUUGGGCUGUUCGCCCAUUAAAGCGGCACGCGAGCUGGGUUCAGAACGUCGUGAGACAGUUCGGUCCCUAUCCGUCGCGGGCGUUGGAAAUUUGAGAGGAGCUGUCCUUAGUACGAGAGGACCGGGAUGGACUUACCGCUGGUGUACCAGUUGUUCUGCCAAGGGCAUUGCUGGGUAGCUAUGUAGGGAAGGGAUAAACGCUGAAAGCAUCUAAGUGUGAAGCCCACCUCAAGAUGAGAUUUCCCAUUUCUUUAAGAAAGUAAGAUCCCUGAGAGAUGAUCAGGUAGAUAGGUCAGGAGUUGAAAGUACAGUGAUGUAUGGAGCGGCUGAUACUAAUCGAAUCGAGGACUUAACCAAUU
rnacentral:rRNA from 1 species